GUGCUUGCUUUGGCAGCAUAUAUACUAAAAUUGGAAUGAUACAGAUGAUUUAACACAGCCCCAAGCAAGGGUGACAUGAAAAUUCAUGAAGAAUGCUAAAUUUAA